rnacentral:sRNA from 1 species
CUAGCCCCGAUUGACGCGACAUCCUUUUUUUGUAAGGGAAGAGUAAUGGCAAAAAAAGAUAUAGCAGAAAGCGGGAUUAAG